UGCAAGCGUAGAAACAACAGGAAAGUGGGUUCAGCGGCUGCUACAGGAAGGCAGUGCCCUCCGGGGUGCAGAGGCUUUGCUGGGUGUUGCUGAGGAACCACAAGCGGAAAGGAGCUGGCAAAUCCCUCCUCCUUCCUCCAGGCUUGCAACCUUCCUGUAGCACCCCUAACUGGUAGGGCCAGUACGGGGUUUGCAGGGUCUUAGCUUAGCAUCCCAAAGCCAAGUUGGGAAGCAUGGAUUUGGAACUGAGAGGCAAUGACUGUCAUGGGGAAGCCACCCCUCAACUGCACGAGGGAUCGUCUACACAGAGCCCUGAAAUCUUCAGAAGAUUCUCUGCAUCCAACCAACAGACAAGGGAAGAAGGACACAUGGAGAAUUCAAGGAGGGAUCAGGGACCACAUUCCACUGGCCAACAUUAGCUGCAUGACCACUUAAGACAAGAGGAACCUGGGAGGUGUAGUCUGGCUGUGUGACCAGGAAGGAGAGAGGACAGUUUGAUAAUUGAAUUAUGAUGUAUAAACUAAUACUUCAGACAAAAUAAUAUCCAAUAUUUAUGGGCACUGUGCAAAGUGCUCCAAAAUAAUGGUACUGUUCGUAUCCCCGUUAUGGAUGGAGGACGGACAACUUAGAAGGAUUAGUUUGCUGCAGGUCACAGAGCUGUUCUGGAGGUCAGAAGUCCUAAAAUCAACAUGCUGGCCGAACUUCAUUCCUCUGGAAGCUCUAGGGAAGAAUUCACUUCCACAUUUUCGCUAGCUUGUAGAGGCUGCGUGCAUUCCUCGAUUUGUGGCUCCAUGUUUCCAUCCUCAAAGUACAUUACUUCGACCCCUGCUUCAGUUGUCAUGGCUGCUCUGACUCUGCCCCUCCUGCCUCCCUCUUAUAAGGACUUUGUAAUUACACUGGGCCCACCUGGAUAACCCGAGAUAACCUCCCAUCUGCAGGUCUUUAAUUAUGUCUGCGAAGUCUCUUUUGCCAGCAGGUGCCCACUCCAAAGAGAGAAAAAGAACAAGCCACACCAAACACAGAAAAAGGGCAAGAAUGAAAAUUCCGCAAAAAGGAACUCAGAGGGAGAGAUAGGAUUAUUUUUCUCACCCAACCAAAAAGGGGCUGGAAGAAAUGGGGCAUUCUCAAUAUAGAGAAUAAACUUCUCUUUUUCAGUUCACCUGUGGUUGUCUCCAACUUUCAUUCAUUUUACUAGAAUUUCUAAUAAUGUUAAAUAUCCCAGCAAUGAAUUUUUAAUCAUAGCUUUUAUUAACAAUAUAGU